UACGAAGGUCCCAAGCGUUAUCCGGAUUUAUUGGGUUUAAAGGGUGCGUAGGCGGAUUAUUAAGUCAGUGGUGAAAGCUCUCAGCUUAACUGGGAAACUGCCAUUGAUACUGAUGAUCUUGAGUAUGAUUGAAGUGGGCGGAAUGUGUCAUGUAGCGGUGAAAUGCUUAGAUAUGACACAGAACACCGAUUGCGAAGGCAGCUCACUAAGCCAUAACUGACGCUGAUGCACGAAAGCGUGGGGAGCAAACAGG
rnacentral:rRNA from 1 species